GGGUCCGGCCACUUCCGGGAGCUCCCGCGCAGGCGCAGCCCGCGGUCACGUGAGCGAGUCAAGGGGGCGGCGCCGCUUACCUGGGCCCAGCACUGCCUGCGCCGUGUGAUAAGGUGUCGGCUUUCUCUGCGUGUGGGUAUCUCUUCCCCGCCUGCUGCCGCGGCGGGUGGACAGGGCGCUUUCAUGUAAAAGUAACUAUUCCUCCACUCGAACGACUUCUCGGUGAAGGACUCCUCUUACUGCCACCUGCGAGAGUUUGCGGCAACGUAAGAGCUUGCAGCCUCAGGGUUAUUGUGACCUAUGGUAGUUCAUUCACCGCGCUGCUGUGUGCAAGUACUGAGCCUGGUAGGCAAGGUCCCUGCCGUUGUGAAGCUACAGUCAGGUCUGAAGGCUGGAAAGCCCAACGUCAAUAUGUUGGCAGAUUCAGUAGCUGGAUUGCUUUGGCUAUUCAGAAACCCCAUUUUAAAGCUUUAAAUGGAUUAAUUCUGGCCUUACACACUGCAUUGAGAGGUCAAAACUGAUACACCAAAGAUGGCAAAGCAGAAAGGCAGAAAGAAACUGGUUCCUUGGUGACACCUUUGUUUUACUAACUGUGGAGCCCUCCUACCUCUGGACUUUGUUAUAUGAUAUAAUAAACUUCCUUUUUUGCCUAA